rnacentral:tRNA from 1 species
GGGGAUGUGGCUCAAGUGGUAGAGUGCUCGCCUAACAUGAGUGAGGCAUUGGGUUCAAUUCUCAGCACCACA